rnacentral:tRNA from 1 species
GCCAACGUAGCUCAGUGGUAGAGCAGCGGUUUCGUAAACCGCAGGUCGGCGGUUCGAAUCCGCCCGUUGGCUCCA